UGCACAACACGUUUUUGUGGGGAAGUAGGAGAGGGUUUUCAGAAAUCACGAGCCACUUACUUUAUCCUUAUUUGUAUUUUCAGUUCAUUUGAGAAACCCCGAUGCUAAGGCCAGCCUCCACAGUUGAAAUUCCCGACCGACGGCAUCGUUCGAACAAAGGAAACGGCCGCUACACCCCUGAUACCGAUGUCUCUGAUGAUUACCGAACCCGUCGUAGCCCUAGUUAUGAAUCAUAUGGUCGCUAUGCCAACAACGAUCGUUACGGCCGUCGAUCGGAGUCACCUGAAAACAGGAGCCCUAGAUACAACCAUCGAACUCUGAAUGGCGAUAGUUUGCCAAAGAAAUUCGGUCGUGGAGAUCGCCGCCGGGAUUUUGGGCGCUCUGAUUCUGAUUCGGACGAGGAGUUGAAGGGUUUGAGCUAUGAAGAGUUCAGAAGGUUGAAGAGGCAAAAGAUGAGGAAGAUGUUGAAACGCUGUAUUUGGAAUGUUACACCGAGUCCUCCAAGAGGCGAGAGCGAUGAUUUGGAGGAGAAAUUGGAAGAAAUUUCUGACGAGGACGGACAUGAUGGUUUGGGCAAGACUGAUUCGGCCGACAAGGAAACUAAAUCGAAAGGGGAGUUUGAAUCUUCGUCUGAGAAAUCUGCCAGUAGUGAAUCGAAGAGUUCGUUCGAGUCCGAGUCUGAUUCUGAAUCAGAUGUUUCACGCUCAAGGAGGAAGAUUAGACGGACUGCAGGUUCUAAGCGCAGGAGCAGGAAGUCUUACAGUGACACUGAAGCUGAGGAAAGUGAAAGUGAAUCUGAAGACGAUCGUCCGCGGAGAAAGAAAUCGGUUAAGAGUAGGAUAACCAGAAGUAGACGGGAAAGGAGCGGUAGGAAGAGGAAGAGAAGGCACAGCGAUUCGGACGCCAGCGAAGACGGUGAAAGUGAGGAGUCUGAUGCUAGUCGAUCUACAGAUGAUCGUGAGAGGUCACGCAAGAAACAUAAGCGAUCUUCAGGGUCUCGUUCAAAAGGUGGCAGGAGAAAGAGACGGUCUCAUGCGAAAAGUGAUGAUUCUUACCCUGAAGAAGAAAGCUGGGAUGCUGAAGCUGAUGCAAGGAUCAUGUUGGACGAGGUGAAGAAGCCAGAAAUUAAUGCUGAGGCACUGAAGCUGAAAGAAUUGUUUGAGUCACAGAAGAAACCCACAUUGGAUGAUGAACCCGUCGUUGGACCACAACCUUUGCCGAGAGCUGAGGGCCAUAUUAGUUAUGGUGGGGCGCUCAGGCCCGGGGAAGGUGAUGCCAUUGCACAGUACGUCCAGCAAGGGAAGCGUAUCCCUCGCAGAGGUGAAGUGGGUCUUUCUGCGGAGGAAAUUCAGAAGUUUGAAAGCCUUGGAUAUGUGAUGAGUGGCAGUAGACAUCAAAGGAUGAAUGCUAUUCGUAUUAGAAAAGAAAACCAGGUUUAUAGUGCAGAGGACAAACGUGCUCUGGCUAUGUUCAACUACGAAGAAAAGGCCAAGAGGGAACAUAAGGUUAUGGCUGAUCUGCAGCGGCUUGUGCAGCGCCAUAUUGGGCAGGAUGUUGGUCCAACUCAUGAUCCUUUUGCUGCAAAAGCCUUGGACGGCAGUGAUGCCUAAUUUUCAAGUAUAAUUUUUCAGUUAAUGUAAUAGGAUUUGUUUAUUUACGGCUGCAAGUAAUUGGUCUGGUGAGAAAUUAAUUGAGAGAGUGACCCAGGAAAUGGAGAAAUUAGUAGAGGCAGAGGAAACUUUCAAGGCUCUUGAUCUUAACAAGUUUGGGCUACACAAGUAUGCUAGGUGACAAUCAUUCAGGCUUAGAAGGAAAAUGGAAUGGAGAUGGGAGGUUACAUAAUUGAAGAGUCAUUUUACUUGAUCCCUUAUCAUAUGUCUUGUCAUGUGAAUCAAAUGACUGAAGUCUAGUUAAUCAGAUUAUCCAGAACAUUAUCAUCUCUGAUUAUUACCAGAAAAAUAAAAAAACUGCGCAAUAUAACUGAAAAACUGAACCUUUGUUUUUAAAUGUUAAAGACAACAUUGACUUGAUUAAAAUUAGAGGGACAAGAUGACACUUUUACAAUACUAGAGGGACCAAUUGUGUAUUCAAGUUUAAAAACCUUACAAGCCUGAAGAUGCUUUGAAACCCAUGACCCUUAUUGAAAAGGGGAAUAUACUUUGAUCUUUGAACUGUUAUGUUAGGAAUUUAGCGGGGUGGGUCUCGUGCAUUUAGGCCAAGAGAUCCUUGUGUGUCUAUGUAUCUUAGGAUAUAUUGAUCCAGACAAGCCCUUAAUGCCUCAACUGGGUAAACUCGGGCCAUUUUAGGACCCUCAACUCCUGGACACUUCCGCCCACGGAUCUCUAAGCGUGGUGACAUGGGUUUACACUCAUGGAUGUUGUUAGGAUUCUUUCUGGAGCACAAGUUUCUCAGAGAGGCAGGUUCAGAGCAUAUUUGAAUUGGUAUGACAAAAAUAAGAUAUUAUAGAAACAAGUUUUAGGGAAAGAGGAGAGAGUUUAUAGAGACAUAAUUGGGAAGACACACUGGUCUGUAUUUUUCCAAACGAGUUCUGUCUUAUAACAUAACUGAAUAUAAACAAAGGGAGAAGGAUCAGGACGACAUAUUCAUAAUUCUAAGAGAGCAAAUCAAUAUUACAUGCAUAACUAGACUUGAUAUAAAGUAAAAGCAAAAGUGAUUGACUGGGUUAAAGUAAACAAUUCUGUCCAAAAGUCAAAAGUAACUUUUGAUAAAAACUACUACAAGACAAAAUUGACUCUGAUAAAAGGAGGCAUGAUUAAAGUAAAGCGGAUUUCUUUAUUCAUAAUUGAGGAUGAGACCUCAAUUGUCGUUAACUCUUGUGGAUGUAUUUCUGCGCUGAUAAAAGGUUCGAUUAAGUCUUUUCGUCUUUUCUAAGCCAUUUGGUAGAAAGAGGUUUAAGAGUGAGCUGUUCUUCAUCAAAGUCUUCAUCCAUCAUUUGAGAGGGUUCGAAGGUAGGUGUAUCUUUUAAUUCUAAAAAUAGUUAGUGGGUUUAAGUCUCUAUUUCAUAGGGUUUUAGCUGUCUGGAAGAAAUGAUGUAGGGGUAAAGGAUGAUGCUCUAUGAUUGUUGCGAAAAAAUCCAUUGCCUUGAGGAUUUAGCCAAACAGAAACUGUACAGCAUUUAAAGUAAGUUUGUCAACUUCCUCCUGCAAUAAGGAUUUUUGACAAAGGAUAGAGAAUUCUGCAAACAAAUGUAAGCGAUGACUUUUGGGAAGCAGCACUCAGAGGAAGAAAACGAGAAAAGACAUUAGUAUGGUCAUGUCAGUGGUGAAUUCAAACAUUCUAAAAAGUAUUAUCACAUAGCAUACAAGGAGCUCCUAGUUGUGAAAUGUGGCACAGAGAAGUUUAGUUUUCAUGUUAGUCCUUAUCACUUUGUGAUAGAAAUGGACGACACCUCAUUCUCGAAAAUCUUUGAUCAGAACAGAAAGAUACUUCUACUCCCUGAAGCUAAUCUCUUUUGAUGGAAGGAUCGGUUUUCUUGUUAUAAAUUUAUAAUUUGGCACAUCAAGGGAAAUCAAAACACCAUUGGAGAUUUUUUGGCUCCACCUUCAAAAAAUUGAAAUCCAGUAAUAGCUUGAAUUCUUUGACAUUCAAGCCCCUUAGCUGGCUAUACCCUUCAUUAGAGGCCCCAUAUUAGAUCAAGCGAUGUGUUACCUUUGGUCCCUUGACCCUCUGCAUGUGCCUUUGCAUCUCCACCAUUAAUCAUUUAUCAUUACCUUUACGACUCUGCCAAUGAAGGAUCAAACCUUUGGAAGCUUCUUAAUUAGUUUUCACUAAUACCUAGAUGGCGAAAGAAACUCUCCCAAGUGAUUGAACCAUAUGAGCUAUGGAAAAAACCAUUGAAUGAAUGUAAGGCUUAUUCCUUCUUUGUUAUUUAUCAUCCUUAUCAACUUGAUAUCGAAGGAAAUCUUUAUGUGGCCAACAGGUAUGUUUAUAGAAGACCGCAACUAAUUGGCCAGCACAUGAAACUUUAGUUUUAAGUGAAUUAAAAGAAUUUUUAUGUGAAAGGAAUAAUUCUCCGAUCCUAAUCUUAGGUGUACAUCUCUUGAUCUUAUCCCUUAUCAGCCCAUCCUCCUCGAUGAUCCAUUACCAUUAGUAUAACAAGUUUUUAGAGAAUGGCUCUCUAGUAUUGCGGUUCAAAAAAGGAUACUCUACAUGGAUGGAAUCUUAUUAUGGAGCAUCAUCAUCUAUCCAUCCAUCAUUUCCUUCAGAUAGUUAGAGUCCUUAUGAGAUAGAGACUCAAACCUAUCAGUUGUUUUUAGAAUUAAAAGAUACACUUGCUGUGGAUCCUCUUAAGUUAUGGAUGAAAUUUUGAUGACGAACAACUCAUUCUUGAGUCCCCUCUAUUAUUAGAUUAGGAAUGCAUCCACAAGAGUUUAUCAUAAUUUAGGUCUUACCGUCAAUUAUGAGAAAAAGAAUUUGCUUUACUUUAAUCAUUUCUCUUUUUGUCAGAGUCUGUUUUGUUUUGUAAUAGUCUUUGUCAAAAGUUACUUUUGACUUUUGGAUAAUUUUUUUUUACUUUAAUCAAAUGAAUUGCUUUUGCUUUUACUUUAUAUUAUGCCUAUGUAUGUAUGUGAUAUCAGUUUGUCCUGUUGUAAUUAUAAUGUCAUUUUGAUCCUCCUCCUUUUAUCUAUAUAAGGAGAUUUUAGCUAUGUUGUGAGGUGGAACUCGUUUUAAAAAAUAAAGAUAAAUGUAUUUUCUCAAUUAUGUAAACUUUCUCCUCUCUACUGAAAGCUUGAUUUUAUAAUAUCUUACUUCUAUCAUAUCAGGAUUCAAGUAUGUUUUGCAUUUGCUUUUAUGAGGAACCUGUGCACCAAAAAAAAUUUGACCAACAAUUCAUGAGUGUGAGCCCGUGUUACUAUUUUUAGAGAUUUGUGGGGUUAAAGUGUCAAGGGGUUAAAAACUCAAAAGUAGCCUGAGUUUGCCCAUGAGAGGCAUUGAGCAGCCUUACUUGAAUUAAUAUACCUUAAAAUACUGAGACACACAAGGAUCUCUAGGUCCGUGUGGUAUCAAAGUCUACCAAUCAGGCUUUGAUGUCUUCUUUCGGUGACAUCUCUAACAUGAGGGAACACUUCACAAAUUCAAGUUCUUUACUGUUUGAUUGCUUGUCAGGUCAAAUUGUGCAUUAGCAAAAACUGAAGCCCAAGUUUAUGUGACUUUUGCUAUAACUAGCAUUAAACCAAAGGUAAGAGUCGUAAAAGUUUUCAUUAAUCAUUUUUCAUAGAGGAACUUCAUUUGGGGAGGCUCUUCUGGACACAGUUUUCAUCCUUCCUUUAAAUUGGCAUAGUGUCUCUCCCUAAGGAGCACGAUGGUCUUGGUUUUAGAAAACUCUCCUUUAUAAACAUAGCCUGUGGUGUUAAAUUGGCAUGGAAGUUAAUCUUUGGGGUGAAAGGAUUAUAGGCAGACAUCCUUCUACACAAGUACAUGCUUCGAAAUGAUAGUGAUCUUUUAGAAGUUAAAAAAGGAGACUCUCAACUUUGGCACUUCAUUUGCCAACAAAGUGAUUUAAUUAAAGAAGGCACUAAAUGGCAAAUUCGCAAUGGAGAAAAUGUUUCCUUCUUUGAUGAUUUCUGGCUUAUCCCUGGGACAAAACUGAAAGAUCUAUGUACAAGGCCCUUAUCUCUUAGGGAAGAACAAAGCAAAGUUGCUGAUUGGGUGGCUUAUGGUUCUUGGGAUUUUGUUAAUUUAGCAACUGUUCUUCCCAGUAACAUAAUCCUCAAACUAAUUGCUGUCAUUCCACCCUCCCAAAGAGCUGGUAAUGACAUCAUGUCCUGGAAUGCCUCCUCUAAUGGCAUUUUUACUCUCAAAAGUGCAUAUUUCCUUAUAGAAAAGAUCCCUCCAAAUUUAUAUUCUCCCACUUUUAAAGUAAUCUGUAAGUGGAGAGGAGAGGAAAGAAUUCGCCUUUUUUCUAUGGAUGAUCUUCCACAAUUGGCUACUAACAAAUUUGUGGCACAGCUCUUGGGCUCUUUCUUCACCACUCUGCAAUUGGUGUAACUCGAAUGAAGAAAAUAUUCUCCAUAUUUUAAGGGACUGUAAGUAUGCUCACUGCUCCUGGUUGCAAACGGUCCACCCUAAUUAUCAAAUAAUUUUUUUUUCUUAUCCUCUAAGGAGUGGGUUCAUGCUAAUUUGACUUGUAAUAUGGGACUCCAUAUUGACUCUGAUUGGGAGAUUUUUUGGGGUGUUUCUGUUUGGCAUUUUUGGAAAUGGAGAAAUAAUUUUAUUUUUGAUGCUAGUUUUCAUAAGCUUUAUGACCCUGUGUCCCAUCUUAUGGUUGUUUGAAAAUCCCUCUCUACCACCUAUUUUUCUACCUCAAAUGUGAAGAAUGAGCCUUCCUUAUGGCUCCCUCCUCAAUGUGGCUGGAUUAAAAUUAAUAUUGACGGUGCUGUUUCUCAAGUUGACUCUAAUGGUGGAUGUCGUGGUGCUCUAAGAGAUUAUUUGGGCUCUUGGAUUGCUGGGUUUUCCUUUUAUCUGGGCCAAUGUUCUCUUGAAGCUGAGGCUUGGGCUUGCCUAAAAGGACUUAAUCUUGCUUGGGAUAUGGGCUACAAGAGUGUUAUUCUUGAAACUGAUUGUAAGGCCUUAAUUGACAUUUUAGAAUCUGAACCUGAUGAACUCUCUCCUCACAGCCAAGUUGUGCUCGAGGUCUCUAAGUUGCUGAAGAACAAUUGGAUGGUCAAGUCUAAUCACAUUCCUAGGUUUAGAAAUAGAGUGGCUGAUAGACUUGCCAAAGAAGCUCUUCUUGUUUCUUCUUUUUUUAGCACUGCUCCUUCUUUUGUGAAGGACUUAGUUCUUUAUGAUUGUAUGGGAUUUCAAUCCCCCUCUCUGUCUUAACUUAAUUAGUACAUCGGGCCUGGCCCUCCCCUUUUACCCAAAAAAAAAAAAACUAGCAUUAAACCAA